rnacentral:rRNA from 1 species
GAUGAACGCUGGCGGCGGGCCUAAUACAUGCAAGUCGAGCGAACAGACGAUGAGCUUGCUCCUCUGACGUUAGCGGCGGACGGGCGGGUAACACGUGGAUAACCUACCUAUUAUACUUGGAUGACAACGGGAAACCGGAGCUACUACUGGCUAAUACAUUGAACCGCUUGGUGCAAUAGUGAAUGGCGCUUUGCCUGUCACUUUUAGAUGAUUCCGCGCCGGAUUAGCUAGUUGGUAAGGUAACGGCUUACCAAGGCGACGAUGCGUAGCUGACCUGAGAGGGUGAUCGGCCACACUGGAACUGAGACACGGUCCAGACUCCUACGGGAGGCAGCAGUAGGGAAUAUUGCGCAAUGGGCGAAAGCCUGACGGAGCAACGCCGCGUGAGUGAAGAAGGUCUUCGGGUCGUAAAACUCUGUUGUUGGGGAAGAACAGAUGUGUAAGUAACUACGGACGUCUUGACGGUACCUAAUGAGAAAGCCCCGGCUAACUACGUG